CCAACGGCCCUCUUUAGGGCCACAAAUAAUCCUUAUAAUCCAGUCU
rnacentral:ncRNA from 13 species